AUGAACGCUGGCGGCGUGCCUAGUACAUGCAAGUCGAGCGAACGGACGAGAAGCUUGCUUCUCUGAUGUUAGCGGCGGACGGGUGAGUAACACGUGGAUAACCUACCUAUAAGACUGGGAUAACUUCGGGAAACCGGAGCUAAUACCGGAUGAUAUUUUGAACCGCAUGGUUCAAAAGUGAAAGACGGUCUUGCUGUCACUUAUAGAUGGAUCCGCGCUGCAUUAGCUAGUUGGUAAGGUAACGGCUUACCAAGGCAACGAUGCAUAGCCGACCUGAGAGGGUGAUCGGCCACACUGGAACUGAGACACGGUCCAGACUCCUACGGGAGGCAGCAGUAGGGAAUCUUCCGCAAUGGGCGAAAGCCUGACGGAGCAACGCCGCGUGAGUGAUGAAGGUCUUCGGAUCGUAAAACUCUGUUAUUAGGGAAGAACAUAUGUGUAAGUAACUGUGCACAUCUUGACGGUACCUAAUCAGAAAGCCACGGCUAACUACGUG
rnacentral:rRNA from 1 species